UACGAAGGGGGCUAGCGUUGUUCGGAUUUACUGGGCGUAAAGCGCACGUAGGCGGAUUUGUAAGUCAGGGGUGAAAUCCCGGGGCUCAACCUCGGAACUGCCUUUGAUACUGCAAGUCUUGAGUCCGAUAGAGGUGAGUGGAAUUCCUAGUGUAGAGGUGAAAUUCGUAGAUAUUAGGAAGAACACCAGUGGCGAAGGCGGCUCACUGGAUCGGUACUGACGCUGAGGUGCGAAAGCGUGGGGAGCAAACAGGG
rnacentral:rRNA from 1 species